GACGAACGCUGGCGGUAUGCUUAACACAUGCAAGUCGAACGAGACAAGAUGGAAGUGCUUGCACGGAAAUCUUAGAAAGUGGCGAACGGGUGAGUAACGCGUGGGUAACCUGCCCUAUGGAAAGGAAUAGCCUCGGGAAACUGGGAGUAAUGCCUUAUAAGAUAUAUUUGUCGCAUGGCAGAUGUAUUAAAAGCUCCGGUGCCAUAGGAUGGACCCGCGUCCCAUUAGCUAGUUGGUGAGAUAACAGCCCGCCAAGGCGACGAUGGGUAACCGGUCUGAAGGGGCGAACGGUCACACUGGAACUGAGACACGGUCCAGACUCCUACGGGAGGCAGCAGUGGGGAAUAUUGCGCAAUGGGGGAAACCCUGACGCAGCAAUACCGCGUGAGUGAAGAAGGUUCUCGGAUCGUAAAGCUCUGUUAUUGGGGAAGAAAAAAAGACGGUACCCAAGAAGAAAGUCCCGGCUAACUACGUGCCAGCAGCCGCCGCCG
rnacentral:rRNA from 1 species